rnacentral:rRNA from 1 species
CCUACGGGUGGCAGCAGUGAGGAAUAUUGGUCAAUGGGCGCUAGCCUGAACCAGCCAAGUAGCGUGAAGGAUGACUGCCCUAUGGGUUGUAAACUUCUUUUAUAUGGGAAUAAAGUGCAGUAUGUAUACUGCUUUGCAUGUACCUUAUGAAUAAGUAUCGGCUAACUCCGUGCCAGCAGCCGCGGUAAUCCGGAGGAGCAGAGCGUUAUCCGGAUUUAUUGGGUGUAAAGGGAGCGUAGGCGGGUUGUUAAGUCAGUUGGGAAAGUUUGCGGUUAAACCAUAAAAUUGCAGUUGAUACUGGCAUCCUUGAGUACAGUAGAGGUAGGCGGAAUGCGUGGUGUAGCGGUGAAAUGCGUAGAUAUCACGAAGAACUCCGAGUGCGAAGGCAGCCUGCUGGACUGUAACUGACGCUGAUGCUCGAAAGUGUGGGUAUCAAACAGGAUUAGAUACCCCGGUAGUC